GUCAUUCCCAAGAUACAUAAUCAUCAGAUUCUCUAAGGUCGAAAUGAAACAAAAAAUGUUAAGGGCAGCCAAAGAGAAAGGCAAGGUCACCUAAAAAGGGAGGCCCAUGAGGAUAACAGUGAACCUUUCAGAAGACACUCUACAGCCAGAAGAGAUUGGGGGUCAAUAUUCAACAUUCUUAAAGGAAAGAAUUUCUGGCCCAAGUUGGUCGUUUCCCUGCACCAAAGUGAGAAGCAGCCAACAUAUAAAGGUGGGAGUCACAUUACAAAACUGAGGGCGAUGAAGAAGCAAAGAAGAACAAGAAGAGAACCUUGAAGCAAGUGGAGACUAUAAGUAUUCAGGACGAGAUAGUUCGGUUUUUGUGGUUGAUGCUUCCAGGGCUAUGUUUGAAUCUCAGAGUGAAGAUGAGUUGACUCCCUUUGGCAUGAGCAUCCAGUGUAUGCAAAGUGUGUACACCAGUAAGAUCAUAAACAGUGAUUGAGAUCUCUUGGCAGUGGUGUUCUAUGAUACAGAGAAAGACGAAGAUUCAGUAAAAUAUUUAUGUCUUACAGGAGUUGGAGAAUCCAGGUGCAAAAUGAAUUCUAGAGUUUAAGGGGCAGCAGGAACAAACAUGUUUCCAAGACCUGAGGGACUACAGAUCUGAUGACUCAUUCAGUGAAGUGCUGUGGGUCUGUGCCAACCUCUUUAGUGAUGUCCAGUUCAUGAUGAGUCAUAAGAAGAUCAUGCUGUUCACCAAUGAAGACAACCCCCAUGGCAAUGACAGUGCCAAAGCCAGCUGGGCCAGGACCAAAGCCAGGUGAUCUCCGAGAUACAGGCAUCUUCCUUCACUUGAUACACCUGAAGAAACCUGGGUGCUUUGACAUAUCCUUGAUCUACAGAGAUAUCACCAGCAUAGCAGAGGAUGAGGACCUCAGGGUUCACUUUGAGGAAUCCAGCAAGCUAGAAGAUCUGUUGCAGAAGGUUCGCGCCAAGGAGACUAGGAAGCAAGCACUCAGCAGGUUAAAGGUGAAGCUCAUCAAAGAUAUAGUGAUCUCUGGGCAUUUAUAAUCUGGUCCAGAAGGCUCUCAAGCCCUCUCCAAUAAAGCUCUAUUGGGAAAAAAAUGAACCAAUGAAAAUCAAGAAAAUCAAAAUUUAACACAAAUACAGGCAGUUUGCUUCUGCCUAGCGAUACCAAGAGAUCUCAGAUCUAUGGGAGUCUCAGAUUAUAAUGGAGAAAGAGGAAACAGAAGAGCUAAAACAGUUUGAUGAUUCAGGUUUGAUGCUCAUGGGUUUCAAACCCUUGGUAAUGCUGAAGAAGCACAAUCACCUGAGGCCAUCCCUGUUCAUGUGCCCCGAGGAGUUGCUGGUGAUUGGGAGCUCAACCGUGUUUAGUGCUCUGCACAUAAAGUGUCUGGAGAAGGAGGUUGUAGCAUUGCGCAGAUACGUACCCCACAGGAACAUCUCUCCUUAUUUUGUGGCUUUGGUGCCACAGGAAGAGGAUGGAGGACCAGAAAAUUCAGGUGACUCCUCCAGGAUUCCAGCCUGUCUUUUUAUCCUUUGCUGAUGAUAAAAGGAAGAUGUCCUUUACUGAAAAAGGCAUAGCAACUCCAGACCAGGUGGACGAGAUGAAGGCUAUCAUUCAGAAGCUCCGCUUCACAUACAGAAGUGACAACUUUGAGAACCCCGGGCUGCAGCAGCACUUCAGGAACCUGGAGGCCUUGGCCUUGGAUUUGAUGGAGGCUGAAUAAGCAGUGGACCUGACAUUGCUCAAAGUUGGAGCAAUGAUUAAAAGACUGGGCUCCCUGGUGGCUGAGUUUAAGGAGCUUGUUUACCCACCAGAUUACAAUCCUGAAGGGAAAUUUACCAGGAGAAAACACAAUAAUGAAGAUUUUUGGAAGCAAAAGGCACAAGGCGAAGUAUUCAGAAGAGGAGCCGAAGGCUGAUAUCUGCAAGGGCACGCUGGGCAAGUUCACUGUGACCAUGCUGAAAGAGGCAUACGGGCUGAAGAAUGGACUGAAGAAGCAGGAGCUGCUGGAAAUUCUCACUGAGCACUUCCAGGCCUGACCAGAGGCUGCAUGUCCAGCCACUCUUUCACACUGUGGCCAGGCUGCCUGGCCUUGUUCUCAGCCAGUUAAAAUGUGUUUCUUCUGAGCUAGGAAGAGUCUGCCCAACAGAAGUUGAGGGAUUUUACAUUUUUGAGACUUUCUGUUGCCAUGGUGAUGGUGUAGCCCUCCCACUUUACUCUACCUUACUUUAUUGCCUGAAUAAAGAGCCCUAAGUUUGUACUGAAAACAAAACAAAACAAAACAAA